AAUGGAACAUUUAGAACAAACGACUGGGUCGCGUCCAUAGAUACAGAACAAAAAGAAAACGUCACGUCUGUGGCAAACGGACAAACGACCAGUAGGCUUAGGAAGCAACCCUAGAUGUGUCGGGACUAUACCUUGUGCACUGCUGCGCGAGGGCUAGAGGCUGGCGCUCUAUUGCUGCAGCUGCGGUGUGUGAGAGAUGGGAGUGAGCAGACGGGGAGAGACGCCAAGAUUUGAUCUGGUCCGGACCAACCAAAAGCCAGUGA